rnacentral:tRNA from 1 species
GUUGAAAUAGCUCAGUAGGUUAGAGCAAAGGACUGAAGAUCCUUAGGUCACCAGUUCGAUUCUGGUUUUCAACA